GCCCGGGUGCUGGAACAGGUAUACAGAGAGGUCUUAAACACCUUGCCGAGAGGCGUGUGGGUUCGAGUCCCACCCCGGGCC
rnacentral:tRNA from 1 species